rnacentral:rRNA from 1 species
UAAGACAGAGGGUGCAAACGUUGCUCGGAAUUACUGGGCGUAAAGCGCGUGUAGGCUGACCGGGAAGUCAGGUGUGAAAUCCCUGGGCUCAACCCAGGAACUGCAUUUGAAACUUCCGGUCUGGAGGGAUGGAGAGGGAAGCGGAAUUCCUGGUGUAGAGGUGAAAUUCGUAGAUAUCAGGAGGAACACCGGUGGCGAAGGCGGCUUCCUGGACAUCUUCUGACGCUGAGACGCGAAAGCGUGGGGAGCAAACAGGAUUAGAUACCCUGGUAGUCCACGCCGUAAACGAUGAGUGCUAGGUGUCAUGGGUAUUGACCCCUAUGGUGCCGUAGCUAACGCGUUAAGCACUCCGCCUGGGGAGUACGGCCGCAAGGCUA